rnacentral:lncRNA from 1 species
UGGGCUCGGUGUAUGAUAUGUGUAUGUAUAUAUAUAUAUAUAUAUAUAUAUAUAUAUAUAUAUAUAUAUAUAUAUAUAUAUAUAAUUUUCGCACGGUCACACCACCAUCAGCUGGGGUUUCCCGAGGUCAGAGAAUAGCUAUCGAUUAACCUAUUAGGAUAGUUGCAGAGAAAUAAAAAGGACGUAAAAUAACAGGGAACCUAUAAACAAAGACGCCAUAACUGGCUGUUGGAGUUGUUAAACGACUUAGCACAGAAAAAGUCGAAAAUGAGCUGGAAAUGGAGCAGGCAUUGGCAGCGGCCUUGGUAUAGACAAACUCUCCAAGAUUUAACUUCUGUAGAAACCUGCACCAAAGAAGACGCGAGGAUGUGUCCAGCGCACGUGAAGUCCAAGGAAUGUCAGCUAUGUUGAUCUCGGUGUUACACCUGACCCUAACGCGUGCCUGAGUUGAUUUCUGCAGCUGCACCAUUUAUGACCCGCUGGCUCAAAAAAAAAAAAAAAAA